rnacentral:misc_RNA from 1 species
AACCAUAGAAACCUGCGGAGUACCUGCGGAGGGAUCAUCAAAGAAGACACAUAAUAACCCAUGAGGGGGAGAGAGGGGAGGGAGAGAGAUGAUCUCUCUUUUUCCUUUCCUUUCCUUUCUCUUGGGUAACCAAACAACUUACAUGACUAGGAAAUCAGAGAGGGAAAGAGAGAGAUGGGAUAUAUAGAUAGGAAAGUGCAGUGCAGUGCGCUGCUUGUCAGACACUUGCCUUGCCCUUGA